GGCAGCAGUGGGGAAUAUUGCACAAUGGGCGAAAGCAUAAUGCAGCAACGCCGCGUGAGUGAUGAAGGCCUUCGGGUCGUAAAACUCUGUCCUCAAGGAAGAUAAUGACGGUACUUGAGGAGGAAGCCCCGGCUAACUACGUGCCAGCAGCCGCGGUAAUACGUAGGGGGCUAGCGUUAUCCGGAUUUACUGGGCGUACAGGGUGCGUAGGCGGUCUUUCAAGUCAGGAGUGAAAGGCUACGGCUCAACCGUAGUAAGCUCUUGAAACUGGGAGACUUGAGUGCAGGAGAGGAGAGUGGAAUUCCUAGUGUAGCGGUGAAAUGCGUAGAUAUUAGGAGGAACACCAGUUGCGAAGGCGGCUCUCUGGACUGUAACUGACGCUGAGGCACGAAAGCGGGGGGAGCAAACAGGAUUAGAUACCCUGGUAGUCCACGCU
rnacentral:rRNA from 1 species